rnacentral:rRNA from 1 species
ACGCUCUGAGGAGGAAAGUGGGGGACUUCGCAAGGAGCCUCACGUUGGGGGAGCGGCCGAUGUCCGAUUAGCUAGUUGGUGGGGUAAUGGCUUACCAAGGCUUCGAUCGGUAGCUGGUCUGAGAGGAUGAUCAGCCACACUGGGACUGAGACACGGCCCAGACUCCUACGGGAGGCAGCAGUGGGGAAUUUUGGACAAUGGGGGCAACCCUGAUCCAGCCAUGCCGCGUGCGGGAAGAAGGCCUUCGGGUUGUAAACCGCUUUUAGCCGGGAAGAAAAGGCCAUCCCUAACAGGGGUGGUUUUUGACGGUACCGGCGGAAUAAGCACCGGCUAACUACGUGCCAGCAGCCGCGGUAAUACGUAGGGUGCGAGCGUUAAUCGGAAUUACUGGGCGUAAAGCGUGCGCAGGCGGUUCGUUGUGUCGGUGGUGAAAGCCCCGGGCUUAACCUG